AAGAAAUAAAAUUCAAAUAAAAUUUCUAAUUUUAUAAUAAAUAUAAUUAAAUAUAUUAUUAUUUCU
rnacentral:tRNA from 1 species